UACGUAGGGGGCGAGCGUUGUCCGGAUUUAUUGGGCGUAAAGAGCUCGUAGGCGGUUCCGUAAGUCAGAUGUGAAAACUCAGGGCUCAACCCGGAGACGCCAUCUGAUACUGCGGUGACUGGAGUCUGGUAGGGGAACACGGAAUUCCUGGUGUAGCGGUGAAAUGCGCAGAUAUCAGGAGGAACACCGAUGGCGAAGGCAGUGUUCUGGGCCAGUACUGACGCUGAGGAGCGAAAGCGUGGGGAGCAAACAGG
rnacentral:rRNA from 1 species